GGCUUGGUGGCGGACGGUCCGCCUCUGUGCUGCAUAGUUGUGGUGCCAAUCCGGAUGUAUGCAGAAGUCGCCCGUUCGAUUCGGGCCCGAGCCA